rnacentral:rRNA from 1 species
AGUGAACGCUGGCGGUAGGCCUAACACAUGCAAGUCGAACGGCAGCACAGUAAGAGCUUGCUCUUACGGGUGGCGAGUGGCGGACGUGUGAGGAAUAUAUCGGAAUCUACUUUUUCGUGGGGGAUAACGUAGGUAAACUUACGCUAAUACCGCAUACGACCUACGGGUGAAAGCAGUGGAUCUUCGGACCUUGCGCGAUUGAAUGAGCCGAUGUCGGAUUAGCUAGUUGGCGGGGUAAUGGCCCACCAAGGCGACGAUCCGUAGCUGGUCUGAGAGGAUGAUCAGCCACACUGGAACUGAGACACGGUCCAGACUCCUACGGGAGGCAGCAGUGGGGAAUAUUAGACAAUGGGCGCAAGCCUGAUCCAGCCAUACCGCGUGGGUGAAGAAGGCCUUCGGGUUGUAAAGCCCUUUUGUUGGGAAAGAAAAGCAGCAGGUUAAGACCACGCUGUUCUGACGGUACCCAAAGAAUAAGCACCGGCUAACUUCGUG